CAACCUUUAACAAUGGAUCUCUUGGUUCCUGCAACGAUGAAGAACGCAGCAAAGUGCGAUAACUAAUGUGAAUCGCAACACGUGAAUCAUCAAGUCUUUGAACGCAACUUGCACUUCCUUUGGAAGUAUGCCUGUUUGAGUAUCAUAU
rnacentral:rRNA from 1 species